UUUAGAGGAAGUAAAAGUCGUAACAAGGUUUCCGUAGGUGAACCUGCGGAAGGAUCAUUAUUGAAAUAAACCUGAUGGGUUGUUGCUGGUUCUCUAGGGAGCAUGUGCACACCUUGUCAUCUUUAUAUCUCCACCUGUGCACUUUUUGUAGACCUUUCAGGUCUAUGUUGCUUCAUUUACCCCAAUGUAUGUUAAUAGAAUGUUGUGCCUAUAUAAUAUAUACAACUUUCAGCAACGGAUCUCUUGGCUCUCGCAUCGAUGAAGAACGCAGCGAAAUGCGAUAAGUAAUGUGAAUUGCAGAAUUCAGUGAAUCAUCGAAUCUUUGAACGCACCUUGCGCUCCUUGGUAUUCCGAGGAGCAUGCCUGUUUGAGUGUCAUUAAUAUAUCAACCUUCUCUUUUUUGAGUUGUUUGGAUGUGGGGGUUUGCUGGCAUCUUAAAUGAUUCAGCUCCCCUGAAAUGCAUUAGCAGAACAACCUGUUCAUUGGCGUGAUAAUUAUCUAUGCUAUUGAAUGUGAGGGCAGUUCAGCUUUCUAACCGUCCUCGGACAAUUCAUCAUUAAUGUGACCUCAAAUCAGGUAGGACUACCCGCUGAACUUAAGCAUAUCAAUAAGCGG
rnacentral:rRNA from 1 species